rnacentral:tRNA from 1 species
GGCAGCGUGGCUUAGUGAUUAGAGCACGUGCCUGGGAGUCAGAAGGUCACGGGUCCUAAUCCUGGCACUGCCA